UGUCCUUUUCAGAAAAUGAUAAUGCACAGCA
rnacentral:piRNA from 1 species